GGGGGAAUAGGGGGAGAGAGACAGAGAGAGAUCACAGCGGGGGGGGACCUGACAGACGGGCUCUCACACACAGAGCUCACAGGGAGAGGGGGAGACAGCGCGGCUCGCUCGGGGGGUGAUAACACCGGGGGGGGGGGGGCAGCGGCACCCGGGCGGACAGACAGCGCGGCUCGCUCCCGGGGGGGGGAGGCGGUGACGGGAUACCGGGCGGGCGGGCGGGCGCUGACACGGAGCUCACACCGGGGGGGAACCGGCCGCACUGUCCGGGGUGACCGAGCUCUCUGUCCGCACCGCCUGCUCGCUUACUUCCGGGUAUCACCGGCCGGACACGCCCACCUGCCACACGGACACGUCACCUGAGCAACCGGCCCACCAAAC